CUGUCCGUCUUUUUCAGCUUUGUUUAGCUCGUCGUCAAAUUCGUCGUCUACUAUCAAUUUUCUGAGGAUUUUCAAGAAUAGCUUAUUUAGUCUGGGCAUCAAGUUUGGUAUGCAAAGGAGGAAGUGUCUGAAACAACUUGCCCUGAGCAGGGUCGUGGCGAGCCGGAGCCUAACCCGGCAACAGAGGGUGCAAGGUUGGAGCGAGAGGGGACGCACCCAGGACGGGGCGCCAGCCCGUCACAAGGCACCGCAAGCGGGACUCGAACCCCAGACCCACCAGAGAGCAGCACCCAGCCAAGCCAAGCCCACUGCACCACUGCACCCCUACUCUAAACUUAAUGAAACUGAGAAAGUCACAAAGGUGGAAGUAAAACAAGUUGGCUGUCACAAGCAGAAAUUGUGUGUGUUACUUUGUUAAACAUGAAUGCUGUUGCUGGAAAUGGUGGUCAAAUGCAAAACAGCUUUAAACAAGUGAAUAUAUGCCCAAAAUAACAAAAACUACUAGGAGAUCACCCAUCUUGGGUGUGUCCCCUCUCCCUCCAGCCUUACGCCCUGUGUUGCCUGGUUAGGCUCCCGAUGGGUGCGACCCCGCUUGGGACAAGUGGUUGUAGCCGUGUGUGUGUGUGUGUGUGUGGUGAAAUCAUGGGUUGAUAGUUAUAUAGGUGUUUCACAGUGUUUUAGUGAUAUUUGGGAAUAUGGUUUAGGGUGAUAGAUAGGUUGGGAACGCAUUAUUAUUUGAUAUUUAUCAAUCAAGCCAUGGUUUCAGGCCAACAUGGAAAGCGAUUGCAAUUGCAAUUAUCAGGUAAACAGAUAAAUAAUAUCAGGUAAACAGAUAAAAAAAUAAUAUAAAUAUUAUCAUACCAAAAACUUAACACUACUGAGUGAGCCUUGUUCAGUGAACAUUAAACAACAAUCUAUAUUUUAUCACCCAUUUAUUGGACCACACAGUUAAGAACUAGAGAUAUUAAUUCCAAUCAGGCAUACUUUACAACGAGAAAAGUGGUUACCGUGCGACCCAGAGCUUCUCUAAACAUUUGAUAAAUUUUAACAGCUUUUCCGUGGCCGUGACCAUUAAAAAAUCAGCUCUUAUUAAGUUAAUUGUCCCCUUUUUAUAAUCUGAGUGCACUGGCCUUUGCUGCUUAUUCAGUGACCUUUUCAAUUACAUGACUGCAUUGGAAUUUAUUUAUUUAUUUGCGAGUUUAUUUAUUUUUAAUUCUGCCACAUCCAGUCUGCAUCCUGGCAUCCACACUCCCCUGAAAGCCCACAAUCCACUACGAUGAAUGCGGAGGCCAAUUAAACCAUUUCACAAAGCACUCAGGCUUGACGGUGGGCCACGGCUUCCACGUGAUAAAUGCCACCUUGGGGAGAAAAUCAAGGGAUUCUUAAUUCUGCAAACUGGCCGCGGUUCUCUCCGCAAUUUCUCCUCCAAAGUGAUGAAAGCCCGCACUGGCUGUGGACCGUCUCCCUUUACUCCAACAAGUGACAGGGGCUCUGCCGGCCCCGGUUCGCGCGCACACGCACACACCAUUGGCACCGGUACGCGUGUCCUGUAAGGCAGUGUUCUGGGGUGACGCACUGGACGUGGCAUCACGAUGGUUCAAGUCCACGUUAAGCUCCCGUGCGGUUUCAUUUACUCUUAUUUAUCUGAAGCCUUUGUCUGAGGUGACUUACAGCUUUAGCAUGGUGCAAUGAAGUACUUUCAAUGAUUGACCUAUAUAGAUAGCUAGGUGACUUUUACUGGAGCUGUUCAGGGUAAAUACCUUAGUCAAGGGUACUACAAAGGAAACAGAUGUUUAAACUGGGGUCAGCAUGCUGUUAAGUUUGAGGAAGGUAGUUGUACUUCUGUACUAAAAUAGACUGCUGUGUAAACAUCAUCAUUAUUAUUAUUAUUAUUAUUAUUAUAAAUAGGGUGGGUGUUUUGACUUGACUUUUGCUUGAACUUGCAGGGCAACUCGUCCAUUGUAACCCUUCAAUUCUAACCAAACCAUUUAUCAAUCCUUUCCAUCGACGAACCGAAUACCGGGGCUCGUCUUCGCACGCAUGGGGCUGCCGCCGGCUCUCCGACACGCCUCGCCGCUUUCCAGCCCCCGGAAAACAAAGCCGCCUGAUCAUUCCGAAGGCGGCGCCUGGGACCAACGGAUUCAGAUGGGUAGACUUCUCCGGCCUUCUAAAGACUGGCAGCUUUGUGUGUGCCCUUGAGGGCUGGCUUGACAUAGAAGCAGGCAAACUGAGCACGAGGGGUAAUAGACGGGGCAUAUUGUACAGUUAAAGCUGGUGAGAGCUCUAACUAUCUUUCUAAAUGUCUGCUUUCAAAAGUACUAGACUUUGCCUACACCUGGUGCUCAAUUACUGUCCCCGAUGACUAUAAAACAUGUACUGUGUACUCUUUGGAGCUUUUUCUGGAGGGCUUUAAUGGGCUGUAUUACCGGAGAGAGGAAUUCAAUUUGAGCUGCGGCUGUCGGAGAUGAAACCCACGAUAAGAGGGAUGGGGGGAAAAUAAAGCGCUGUGUAAUUACA
rnacentral:lncRNA from 1 species